rnacentral:rRNA from 1 species
UACAGAGGGUGCGAGCGUUAAUCGGAUUUACUGGGCGUAAAGCGUGCGCAGGCGGCUUUGCAAGACAGAUGUGAAAUCCCCGGGCUCAACCUGGGAACUGCAUUUGUGACUGCAAGGCUAGAGUACGGCAGAGGGGGAUGGAAUUCCGCGUGUAGCAGUGAAAUGCGUAGAUAUGCGGAGGAACACCAAUGGCGAAGGCAAUCCCCUGGGCCUGUACUGACGCUCAUGCACGAAAGCGUGGGGAGCAAACAGG